GGUACUGGUGAACGACAAGCAGAGGAGCGGGGUCCCGCAACCUUGAGUUCUCGGAUGCCUGUGUUAUCAACAGCUCAAAGACUCCGAAACCUCCGGAAGAAGCCGC